AUGGCCUUGUGGGAAACGAGUGCGCCACCGAAAGCCAAAAUCCAUAUGUGGUGCUUGGUCAAGAACGGGCUGGCUGUUGGCGCCAAGCUCCAUCGCAGGAGAAUUAAACCAGGAGUUUUUUGUGUGGCAUGUGGUGGAGAGGAAACCAUAUAUCACCGUUUUUGGGCGUGUCAACAUUCCGUCCACUUCUGGAAGAUUCUGCGUGAAGAGAAGGGUGUAUCUGUGGCUCUCCCACCGGCUCCGAUGGACAACCAUGGCGAGUUAUCUCGCUGGCUCCUUCAAUGGCUUGCGACGGCUGAUGGUGACGAGCGUGAGGCGAUGAUACAAGCUACUUAUGGUCUUUGGCUUGCUAGGAAUGCAGCAAGAUAUGGAAAGAGGAUUGACCAACCACAUGAAAUAAUGAAGUUUGUGUGCUCUCAUAUGGCGGAAUGGAGCAGCUUGCAUCAACCAAAGCCGAGGCAAGCAACGAUGGAUCAGCCACAAAAAUGGGAAGCACCUAAAGAUGGAUGGGUUCAGAUCAAUUCCGAUGGUGUUGUUCACAAAGGAGGGAGUAAGGCGGGUGGUGGAGCGGUAAUCCGGGACCACAAUGGGGCUUUUCUGGCCGGAGUAAGCCAUUAUUUUCCCCACAUUGUAGAGCCAGAAGCAGCAGAGAUCUUGGCUUGCAAAAGAGCUUUACAUGUAGCGGAGGAGAUCAAUGUACAGAAUGGCCAUUUGGAGUUGGACUGUUUGCCGGUGGUGCAAAUGAUCAACCAGAAGGACAUCAAUUAUUCGGGAGUUGGGCCAUGGAUUCAGGAAAUAAAACGGAUGCUGGCGUUGAAGAAUGACAUCAGAGUAACGUGA
rnacentral:rRNA from 1 species